rnacentral:rRNA from 1 species
GGGGAAUUUUGGACAAUGGGCGCAAGCCUGAUCCAGCCAUGCCGCGUGAGUGAAGAAGGCCUUCGGGUUGUAAAGCUCUUUUGUCAGGGAAGAAAUGCUCUGGGUUAAUACCCUGGGGUGAUGACGGUACCUGAAGAAUAAGCACCGGCUAACUACGUGCCAGCAGCCGCGGUAAUACGUAGGGUGCGAGCGUUAAUCGGAAUUACUGGGCGUAAAGCGUGCGCAGGCGAUUUUGUAAGUCAGAUGUGAAAUCCCCGGGCUCAACCUGGGAACUGCAUUUGAGACUGCAAGGCUAGAGUGUAGCAGAGGGGGGUAGAAUUCCACGUGUAGCAGUGAAAUGCGUAGAGAUGUGGAGGAAUACCGAUGGCGAAGGCAGCCCCCUGGGUUACUACUGACGCUCAUGCACGAAAGCGUGGGGAGCAAAC